AAGAGUUAAAAGGCUCGCAGCAGAGGUAUCUGGUGUUGGAGCUUGAGUCCGGCCUUACACAAAGCAUAGGCCGCCAAUGAACACGCAGAAACUGCAAGAUGGUGAUGUCCCCUCAAAGGCACUUCCUACAACCUACCUCUCUCACUUCAUGCAGCACUCAAGAACUUCUGUCCACGACCAGGAAUCUGGGUAAGAGAUACAACUUUUAGGCAGCUAACUUGUUAAGAUAACAAUCACAGCAGAAAGAUCAAAACCCCCUUUCCUUUCCGUGGAUUCAGUGAGUAAAGGUUUUCUCUCAGUAAAAACAGAUUGUGUGUCCAACUCCGGCAGACACAAA